UGAAUGGCAAUCGCUGGCUCUUUGAGUCAGAGGAAAGUCCGAGCUCCACAGGGCAGGAUGCCGGUUAACGGCCGGCGAAGGUGACUUUAGGGAUAGUGCCACAGAAAUGUGUACCGCCACGUACGUGGUAAGGGUGGAACGGUGCGGUAAGAGCGCACCAGCAGUGCAGUAAUGUACUGGCUAGGUAAACCCCAUCUGGAGCAAGACCGAAUAGGGGAGGGAUGAGGCGGCCCGCUGACCUUCCGGGUUGUGUCGCUUGAACAUGCCAGCAAUGGUAUGUCUAGAUAGAUGAUUGCCGCUGCGCCAAGCAGAACAAAACUCGGCUUACUGAUU
rnacentral:RNase_P_RNA from 1 species